rnacentral:rRNA from 1 species
UGGGGAAUUUUGGACAAUGGGCGAAAGCCUGAUCCAGCAAUGCCGCGUGUGUGAAGAAGGCCUUCGGGUUGUAAAGCACUUUUGUCCGGAAAGAAAUCCUUGGCUCUAAUACAGUCGGGGGAUGACGGUACCGGAAGAAUAAGCACCGGCUAACUACGUGCCAGCAGCCGCGGUAAUACGUAGGGUGCAAGCGUUAAUCGGAAUUACUGGGCGUAAAGCGUGCGCAGGCGGUUUGCUAAGACCGAUGUGAAAUCCCCGGGCUCAACCUGGGAACUGCAUUGGUGACUGGCAGGCUAGAGUAUGGCAGAGGGGGGUAGAAUUCCACGUGUAGCAAGUGAAAUGCGUAGAGAUGUGGAGGAAUACCGAUGGCG